rnacentral:pre_miRNA from 1 species
CAAUGUUUUGACUCGUCGUCUUAUUUGAAUUUUUUGUGAUUAAUAUUUUUAUUGUUACUAGAUGAUAAAACAUAAAUAGUACUUUAUGCGUAACUAAUUAUUUUAAGUUUUUGUACAAAUUUUUCAAAUAAGACGAACGGUCAAAACGUUGGAC